AACGCGAAGAACCUUACCUACCCUUGACAUCCUGCGGACUUGCCUGAAAGGGCGAGGUGCCGAAAGGAGCGCAGAGACAGGUGCUGCAUGGCUGUCCUCAGCUCGUGUCGUGAGAUGUUGGGUUAAGUCCCGUAACGAGCGCAACCCUCGUGCGUAGUUGCCAUCAGGUAAUGCUGGGCACUUUACGCAGACCGCUGGUGAUAAGCCAGAGGAAGGUGGGGAUGAAGUCAAGUCAUCAUGGCCUUUAUGGGUAGGGCUACACACGUGCUACAAUGGUGGGUACAGCGGGAAGCGAACCUGUGAGGGGGAGCGAACCUCGAAAAACCCAUCGUAGUCCGGAUUGGAGUCUGCAACUCGACUCCAUGAAGUCGGAAUCGCUAGUAAUCGCAGAUCAGCAGGCUGCGGUGAAUACGUUCUCGGGCCUUGUACACACCGACUGUAC
rnacentral:rRNA from 1 species